rnacentral:rRNA from 1 species
AAUUUUCGGCAAUGGGGGCAACGCUCACCGAGCGACGCCGCGUGAGUGACGACGGUCUUCGGAUUGCAAAGCUCGGUUCUAAGGGAAGAACCGUACCAGUAGGGAAUUACUGGUACCUGACGGUACCUUACCAGCAAGCCACGGCUAACUACGUGCCAGCAGCCCAGGUACUACGUAGGUGGCAAGCGUUAUCCGGAAUCAUUGGGCGUAAAGGGAGCGCAGGCGGCUUAUUAAGUCUGAGGUUAAAGUUCGGGGCUCAACCCCGUGAUGCCUUAGAAACUGGUAGGCUAGAGUGCAGGAGAGGUGAGUGGAAUUCCAUGUGUAGCGGUAAAAUGCGUAGAUAUAUGGAGGAACACCAGUGGCGAAGGCGGCUCACUGGCCUGUAACUGACGCUCAGACACGAAAGCGUGGGGAGCAAAC